AAAAUGCGAUAAGUAAUGUGAAUUGCAGAAUUCAGUGAAUCAUCGAAUCUUUGAACGCACAUUGCGCCCGCCAGUAUUCUGGCGGGCAUGCCUGUUCGAGCGUCAUUUCAACCCUCAAGCCCCCGGGUUUGGUGUUGGGGAUCGGGCUGUGGUUCUGCCGCGGCCCGGCCCCGAAAUCUAGUGGCGGUCUCGCUGCAGCCUCCAUUGCGUAGUAGCUAACACCUCGCAACUGGAACGCGGCGCGGCCAAGCCGUUAAACCCCCCAACUUCUGAAUGUUGACCUCGGAUCAGGUAGGAAUACCCGCUGAACUUAAGC
rnacentral:misc_RNA from 1 species